rnacentral:rRNA from 1 species
AGAGUUUGAUCCUGGCUCAGGAUGAACGCUAGCGGGAGGCCUAACACAUGCAAGCCGAGCGGUAUUGUUUCUUCGGAAAUGAGAGAGCGGCGUACGGGUGCGGAACACGUGUGCAACCUGCCUUUAUCUGGGGGAUAGCCUUUCGAAAGGAAGAUUAAUACUCCAUAAUAUAUUGAACGGCAUCGUUUAAUAUUGAAAGCUCCGGCGGAUAGAGAUGGGCACGCGCAAGAUUAGCUAGUUGGUGAGGUAACGGCUCACCAAGGCGAUGAUCUUUAGGGGGCCUGAGAGGGUGAUCCCCCACACUGGUACUGAGACACGGACCAGACUCCUACGGGAGGCAGC